rnacentral:rRNA from 1 species
GACAGAGGGUGCAACCGUUGUUCGGAAUUACUGGGCGUAAAGCGUGUGUAGGCGGUCCGCUAAGUCGGGUGUGAAAGCCCUGGGCUCAACCCAGGAAGUGCACUCGAAACUGGCGGGCUAGAGUAUCGGAGAGGUUGGUGGAAUUCUCGGUGUAGAGGUGAAAUUCGUAGAUAUCGAGAGGAACACCGGUGGCGAAGGCGGCCAACUGGACGAAUACUGACGCUGAGACUCGAAAGCGUGGGGAGCAAACAGG